rnacentral:rRNA from 2 species
AUGGAAGGGCCAUCGCUCAACGGAUAAAAGGUACUCCGGGGAUAACAGGCUGAUACCGCCCAAGAGUUCACAUCGACGGCGGUGUUUGGCACCUCGAUGUCGGCUCAUCACAUCCUGGGGCUGAAGCCGGUCCCAAGGGUAUGGCUGUUCGCCAUUUAAAGUGGUACGCGAGCUGGGUUUAGAACGUCGUGAGACAGUUCGGUCCCUAUCUGCCGUGGACGUUGGAGAUUUGAGGAAAGCUGCUCCUAGUACGAGAGGACCGGAGUGGACGAACCGCUGGUGUUCGGGUUGUGUCGCCAGACGCAUUGCCCGGUAGCUAUGUUCGGAUAGGAUAACCGCUGAAAGCAUCUAAGCGGGAAGCCCCUUCCAAGAUGAGAUCUCCCUGGACCCUUGAGGUCCCUGAAGAGCCGUUCAAGACCAGGACGUUGAUAGGUCGGGUGUGUAAGCGCUGCGAGGCGUUGAGCUAACCGAUACUAAUUGCUCGUGCGGCUUGACUAUAUAACACCCAAG